rnacentral:rRNA from 1 species
AACGAACGCUGGCGGCAGGCUUAACACAUGCAAGUCGAACGCCCCGCAAGGGGAGUGGCAGACGGGUGAGUAACGCGUGGGAAUCUACCCAUCUCUACGGAAUAACUCAGGGAAACUUGUGCUAAUACCGUAUACGCCCUUCGGGGGAAAGAUUUAUCGGGGAUGGAUGAGCCCGCGUUGGAUUAGCUAGUUGGUGGGGUAAAGGCCUACCAAGGCGACGAUCCAUAGCUGGUCUGAGAGGAUGAUCAGCCACAUUGGGACUGAGACACGGCCCAAACUCCUAAGGGAGGCAGCAGUGGGGAAUAUUGGACAAUGGGCGCAAGCCUGAUCCAGCCAUGCCGCGUGAGUGAUGAAGGCCUUAGGGUUGUAAAGCUCUUUCACCGGAGAAGAUAAUGACGGUAUCCGGAGAAGAAGCCCCGGCUAACUUCGUGCCAGCAGCCGCCGUAA